rnacentral:lncRNA from 1 species
CUCUUCUUUACAUGAGAAUGCUUCUUUAUAUAAUAAUGUUUUUGAUAAUGCUUUUGUAGGGUUCUUCGAGCACGACUCCUGAUGUGAAGUUUAACAACUAAAACUUGGACCAAACCUAUCAAAUAUAUAUUGAGUUAUGAGCAAUAUAUAGAGGAAGAAUCAAAUCUUUUGUUAUGUCUCUCUUCGAUCAAGAAUCCGGCGGUGUGAUGUUUUCAGAAGUAAAUAAUAAAAAAAAUAUGUAAUCUGUCGAAACUUAUGUGACUUUGGCCUCUUUGUUCGUUUGUAUAGGGCUAUCUAUCUAUCUAUUUAUCUGUCUAUCUAUCUCUCUUAAGUUUCUUUGUCUUUUCUUCUUUGUCUUUUGUUUCUCUUAAGUAAAAAUGUAUUCACCAGUUUGUAAGAGUAAUUCAUAAAUCAAAAAGCUAAAAUUUUAUGGUGAAGAAAAGAGAUUGUUUUUUUUUUAAUGCUAAUUAAUAUGCAUAUAUGAGUUUUAUUUUCUCUUUUCAAGCAAAAUUGUCAGUUACAAUUAAAUUGUGUUGCAUCUAAAAUAUUUAUUAACUUCUAACUAAACUAUACCACUAAUGUAAGUUCUUUUUUUAAAAAUUAACAUUGAAAUUUUUAGCAAAAUAUUUACUAAAAAACUCUAGAAAUUCAAUUUGAAAAAAAUAAAUCUAAAAUUUUUAAAAACGAAUAUUAGGCUUUGAAUGAAUGUUGCGGAUAAAGUGUACUAAUCCAUAGAUGAUUUAGUUCACUCUAUUCAUAAGAUGAACACCAAUAUACUACAUAUCAAAUUUAUUUAUACGUUAAAACAGUCUAUAGUUGGUCUACUGUGAUUUUUGUUUUUUGGAUAUUUAUCAAUACGAACUAUAAUUUUUAGAAUGACAAUAAAAAAGUGUUUCAAUCAUAAAACAGUUUUUUUCCGUCCCACCAUAACUGUUCGAACUUAGUAUACGUCUAAAUGAAAAAUACAACACGUAAGUAAGAUUAAUUUUGAUGUAUAUGAAUCAAAUAAAACUUAUCCUCUUAAACAAAUAAUUUGAUUCUUUUUGUUGAAUAUUAUCGAAUCUAACAAAGAAGAUGUUUACGGUUCGUACCUAAAAUAACAAAAAAAGUAGGACAAAACAGUACUAGGAACGAAGAUGUAAUAGAUAAAACAGAUUCCAUGCAAAAUCUGUAUGUCUAUGCAUAUAAACAGACUCACGGGUUCACUUACGAUUUGAUCUUUGGUUGGUUUAUAUGUCUUUCGAAUGUCUUUUCGUUUCUUUGGAUCACGGCAAAGACUUAUUGAUGAAACCUUUUGCUUGGAGAAUUGAAAUUUGUUUUUUUUUUUUU